CCUACGGGCGGCAGCAGUGAGGAAUAUUGGUCAAUGGGCGCGAGCCUGAACCAGCCAAGCAGCGUGAAGGAUGACUGUCCUACGGGUUGUAAACUUCUUUUAUAAAGGAAUAAAGUGAGGCACGUGUGCCUUUUUGUGUGUACUUUAUGAAUAAGGAUCGGCUAACUCCGUGCCAGCAGCCGCGGUAAUACGGAGGAUCCGAGCGUUAUCCGGAUUUAUUGGGUUUAAAGGGAGCGUAGAUGGGUUGUUAAGUCAGUUGUGAAAGUGUGCGGCUCAACCGUAAAAUUGCAGUUGAUACUGGCAGCCUUGAGAACAGUUGAGGUAGGCGGAAUUCGUGGUGUAGCGGUGAAAUGCUUAGAUAUCACGAAGAACUCCGAUUGCGAAGGCAGCUUACUAAACUGCCACUGACAUUGAUGCUCGAAAGUGUGGGUAUCAAACAGGAUUAGAUACCCGAGUAGUC
rnacentral:rRNA from 1 species